GACGGAGGAUGCAAGCGUUAUCCGGAAUGAUUGGGCGUAAAGCGUCCGCAGGUGGCCGUUCAAGUCUGCUGUCAAAGCCCGGGGCUUAACUUCGGAAAGGCAGUGGAAACUGAACAGCUAGAGUAUGGUAGGGGCAGAGGGAAUUCCUGGUGUAGCGGUGAAAUGCGUAGAGAUCAGGAAGAACAGCGGUGGCGAAGGCGCUCUGCUGGACCAUAACUGACACUCAGGGACGAAAGCUAGGGGAGCGAAUGGG
rnacentral:rRNA from 1 species